GAGUUUAGAUACAUGGCUUCAACCAGCAACCAGAAGAAAUUAGUCAUGACGCAAUAAUGACAAAACACCACCGACGCCUUACAUGCCGCCUGCGGAGAGAGAGGAAGAGAAAGAGAGCGACGCUGAGAAUGAUAAACAGGGCAUGACGGCAAAAACACAAGAGAGGGAGACUUAAGCAGACGGAGAAAGUAGAAACUCAGCAGGACAUAAAAGAAGGAAACCACAUUUAAAGGCUGUUAGAUCAGUGGCGUUGAUGGACUCACCGUAGAGAGCGUGCAGUGAUCUGUGUCGUCACUGGAGAACAGUGUAGCAUCUUUGAUAAACACAGCCACCGAUUUCAGGAUGAAGUGCAGGCCUCAUGGUAAGGAGGGAACGGAUGUGACCAGCCGCCAGCCGUGCAAUUACGACUCACUAUACCUACAGUAAUGAAUUAAAG